rnacentral:rRNA from 1 species
CCUGAUGCAGCAACGCCGCGUGAGUGAUGAAGGCCUUCGGGUUGUAAAGCUCUUUCAGUAGGGAAGAACGGCUGAAGGCUGAUCCGCUCGAACGUUGACGGUACCUACACAAGAAGCCCUGGCUAACUAUGUGCCAGCAGCCGCGGUAAU